rnacentral:rRNA from 1 species
CUUGAACGCUGGCGGCAUGCUUUACACAUGCAAGUCGAACGGGGGUGGGGCAACCCACUUCAGUGGCGAACGGGUGAGUAAUGUAUCGGAACGUAUCCUUAAGUGGGGGAUAACUCCGAGAAAUCGGAGCUAAUACCGCAUGAGAUCCGAGGAUGAAAGCGGGGGACCGAAAGCCUCGCGCUUGAGGAGCGGCCGAUAUCUGAUUAGCUAGUUGGUGGGGUAACGCCUACCAAGGCUGCGAUCAGUAGCUGGUCUGAGAGGAUGAUCAGCCACACUGGGACUGAGACACGGUCCAGACUCCUACGGGAGGCAGCAGUGGGGAAUUUUGCGCAAUGGGCUAACGCCUGACGCAGCAACGCCGCGUGGAGGAUGAAGGUCCUGGAUUGUAAACUCCUGUCAGCAGGGAAAAAGCAAGCCGACCUAAUACGUCGGUGAGUUGAUUGUACCUGCAGAGGAA